rnacentral:rRNA from 1 species
UACAGAGGUCUCAAGCGUUGUUCGGAUUCAUUGGGCGUAAAGGGUGCGUAGGUGGCGCCAUAAGUCGGGUGUGAAAUCUCGGGGCUUAACUCCGAAACUGCAUUCGAUACUGUGGUGCUUGAGGACUGGAGAGGAGACUGGAAUUCAUGGUGUAGCAGUGAAAUGCGUAGAGAUCAUGAGGAAGACCAGUGGCGAAGGCGGGUCUCUGGACAGUUCCUGACACUGAGGCACGAAGGUCAGGGGAGCAAACGGG